rnacentral:tRNA from 1 species
GGCCUAUUUGCUCUGCUGGUUAUAGCGUGGUCCUAAUAAGGCCAAGUUCGCAGGUUCGAGACCUGCAUGGGCCA